UAGAUAGGUAAGAAAGAUGUAAAGACUUGAAAAUAGUACUAAGACAUUUUGGGCUCAUGCUGAGGCCAGAGAGAAGUCUUGAAUGAUUUUAAAUGAGGAAGUGACAUGAUCACAUUAGAUUUUUAGAUGUUUUGCUGUCUCAUGGAGAUUGGAUUGAGAGGAAGAAGUAGAGACGAGGGAAAACUGGUUGCUGGGGACAAUUGUGAACCAAGCUAGCAGUGAUAGGGGCACAUAAAGCAUCAGGGACUCGACAACUGCUCCAUGUCUGAAGUAUAUAAAAUAUAGUGUCAGUGAUGGUUCCUGUUAUCUGAUAUGUCCAUUUCUGAUUUCAUACUAGUCCCAUGGUAAACAUGAGUUGAGAUUUCUUGACAGAGAAGCUUGUACAAUAUUAUCGUUUUCUUGACCUCUUGGUCAGUUUAUAACCUGUGCUAUCUUUUGAUGUUUGCAAUCUGUUUUAUUUCUAUUUGUUGUGGUACUGGGAAUUGAACCCAUGACCUUUGCACUGCACUACCUCCCCAGCUCUUUUUAAUUUUUUUUUUGUGCCAGACAUCAAACUCAGGACCUUGCACUGGCAAAGCAGGCAUAGUGCCACUGUGCUAAGUCUCCAGCCCUUUUUUUUUUUAGCCCUUUUUAAAUUUUGAUACAGGGUCUCACUAAGUUGCCUAGGCUAGGCUUGAAUUUUUAACCCUCCUUCCUCAGCCUCCCAGAGUUCUGGGAUUACAGGCUUGCACCAUCACACCAGCUUUGGUGUUUUUAAGUAUUAUAUCUUAGGAUAGACUAUUGAGUAUACUCUUUGUAAUAACUUUAUGAAAUUUCAUUUACAGGUUCAGAAAGUGCUUCCCCAGUUCAUUCCACUCUGGGAUCCCGGUCACAGACUCCUUCCCCUUCCACACUGAAUAUAGAUCACAUGGAACAGAAGGAUCUACAGCUUGAUGAGAAGCUUCACCACUCUGUUCUUCAGACACCAGAUGAUCUAGAAAUCAGUGAAUUUCCCUCUGAAUGUUGCAGUGUGAUGGCAGGGGGUACUCUCACCGGAUGGCAUGCUGAUGUUGCCACUGUUAUGUGGCGAAGAAUGCUAGGCAUUUUGGGAGAUGUCAAUGCUAUUAUGGAUCCUGAAAUACACGCUCAAGUUUUUGAUUACCUCUGUGAACUUUGGCAGAAUCUAGCCAAGAUUAGAGAUAACCUCGGCAUUUCAACUGAUAACCUGACCUCCCCUUCUCCACCAGUUUUGAUUCCUCCACUAAGAAUUCUUACACCUUGGCUUUUUAAGGCAACCAUGUUGACUGAUAAAUAUAAACAAGGUAAAUUACAUGCUUAUAAACUUAUUUGUAAUACAAUGAAAAGAAGACAAGAUGUAUCACCAAAUAGAGAUUUUCUAACACAUUUCUACAAUAUAAUGCAUUGUGGAUUACUUCAUAUCGAUCAGGAUAUUGUUAAUACAAUCAUCAAGCACUGCUCGCCUCAGUUCUUUUCACUUGGUUUGCCUGGUGCCACAAUGCUCAUUAUGGAUUUUAUUAUAGCAGCUGGUAGAGUGGCUUCUUCAGCUUUUCUCAAUGUAAGUAUUUAUUUCUUGUUCUUCAUAAUAAACUUUAGUUAACAAGGGCUCAAUUAGCAGAGCAACAAGGGAGGAACUACUGUGGAGAAAAAUAUAACAAGCUGAUGUUGUAUGUUCUGAGUAUAGUUGAAAUUGA
rnacentral:lncRNA from 1 species